GCGGGAAUAGCUCAAUUGGUAGAGCGUCAGCCUUCCAAGCUGAAUGUUGCGGGUUCGAGUCCCGUUUCCCGCUC
rnacentral:tRNA from 2 species